rnacentral:rRNA from 1 species
UGGGGAAUAUUGCACAAUGGGCGCAAGCCUGAUGCAGCCAUGCCGCGUGUGUGAAGAAGGCCUUCGGGUUGUAAAGCACUUUCAGCGAGGAGGAAGGUGGUGAACUUAAUACGUUCAUCAAUUGACGUUACUCGCAGAAGAAGCACCGGCUAACUCCGUGCCAGCAGCCGCGGUAAUACGGAGGGUGCAAGCGUUAAUCGGAAUCACUGGGCGUAAAGCGCACGCAGGCGGUUUGUUAAGUCAGAUGUGAAAUCCCCGGGCUCAACCUGGGAACUGCAUUUGAAACUGGCAAGCUAGAGUCUCGUAGAGGGGGGUAGAAUUCCAGGUGUAGCGGUGAAAUGCGUAGAGAUCUGGAGGAAUACCGGUGGCGAAGGCGGCCCCCCUGGACGAAGACUGACGCUCAGGUGCGAAAAGCGUGGGGGCAGCAAACAGGAUUAGAUACCCUGGUAGUCCACGCUGUAAACGAUGUCGAUUUGGAGGUUGUGCCCUUGAGGCGUGGCUUCCGGAGCUAACGCGUUAAAUCGACCGCCUGGGGAGUACGGCCGCAAGGUUAAAACUC